CCUACGGGGGGCAGCAGUGAGGAAUAUUGGUCAAUGGACGAGAGUCUGAACCAGCCAAGUCGCGUGAAGGAUGACUGCCCUAUGGGUUGUAAACUUCUUUUAUAAAGGAAUAAAACGAGGCACGUGUGCCUUUUUGCAUGUACUUUAUGAAUAAGGAUCGGCUAACUCCGUGCCAGCAGCCGCGGUAAUACGGAGGAUCCGAGCGUUAUCCGGAUUUAUUGGGUUUAAAGGGAGCGUAGAUGGGUUGUUAAGUCAGUUGUGAAAGUUUGCGGCUCAACCGUAAAAUUGCAGUUGAUACUGGAAGUCUUGAGUGCAGUUGAGGUAGGCGGAAUUCGUGGUGUAGCGGUGAAAUGCUUAGAUAUCACGAAGAACCCCGAUGGCGAAGGCAGCUUACUAAACUGUAACUGACAUUGAGGCUCGAAAGUGUGGGUAUCAAACAGGAUUAGAUACCCUUGUAGUC
rnacentral:rRNA from 1 species